AGAGUUUGAUCAUGGCUCAGGAUGAACGCUAGCGGCAGGCCUAACACAUGCAAGUCGAGGGGUAACAGGGUUGUUUACAACUGCUGACGACCGGCGCACGGGUGCGUAACGCGUAUAGAACCUACCUUUUACAUUGGGAUAGCCUUUAGAAAUGAAGACUAAUACCAUAUGUGGUUGUAGUAUGGCAUCCUACUACAAUUAAAGAUUUAUCGGUAAAAGAUGGCUAUGCGUCCUAUUAGUUAGAUGGUAAGGUAAAGGCUUACCAUGACAUCGAUAGGUAGGGGCCCUGAGAGGGGGAUCCCCCACACUGGUACUGAGACACGGACCAGACUCCUACGGGAGGCAGCAGUGAGGAAUAUUGGGCAAUGGAGGCCACUCUGACCCAGCCAUGCCGCGUGCAGGAAGACUGCCCUAUGGGUUGUAAACUGCUUUUAUACAGGAAGAAACGAUUCUACGAGUUAGGAUUUUGACGGUACUGUAAGAAUAAGCACCGGCUAACUCCGUGCCAGCCGCCGCGGUAAUAC
rnacentral:rRNA from 1 species